AUUGAACGCUGGCGGCAGGCCUAACACAUGCAAGUCGAGCGGAUGAAGGGAGCUUGCUCCUGGAUUCAGCGGCGGACGGGUGAGUAAUGCCUAGGAAUCUGCCUUGUAGUGGGGGAUAACGUCCGGAAACGGGCGCUAAUACCGCAUACGUCCUGAGGGAGAAAGUGGGGGAUCUUCGGACCUCACGCUAUCAGAUGAGCCUAGGUCGGAUUAGCUAGUUGGUGGGGUAAAGGCCUACCAAGGCGACGAUCCGUAACUGGUCUGAGAGGAUGAUCAGUCACACUGGCACUGAGACACGGUCCAGACUCCUACGGGAGGCAGCAGUGGGGAAUAUUGGACAAUGGGCGAAAGCCUGAUCCAGCCAUGCCGCGUGUGUGAAGAAGGUCUUCGGAUUGUAAAGCACUUUAAGUUGGGAGGAAGGGCAGUAAGUUAAUACCUUGCUGUUUUGACGUUACCAACAGAAUAAGCACCGGCUAACUUCGUG
rnacentral:rRNA from 1 species